rnacentral:rRNA from 1 species
UACGUAGGUCCCGAGCGUUGUCCGGAUUUAUUGGGCGUAAAGCGAGCGCAGGUGGUUUAAUAAGUCUGAUGUAAAAGGCAGUGGCUCAACCAUUGUGUGCAUUGGAAACUGUUAGACUUGAGUGCAGUAGAGGAGAGUGGAAUUCCAUGUGUAGCGGUGAAAUGCGUAGAUAUGUGGAGGAACACCAGUGGCGAAGGCGGCCUUCUGGCCUUAACCUGACGCUGAGGAGCGAAAGCGUGGGGAGCAAACAGG